rnacentral:rRNA from 1 species
AGCGAACGCUGGCGGCAGGCUUAACACAUGCAAGUCGAACGCCCCGCAAGGGGAGUGGCAGACGGGUGAGUAACACGUGGGAACGUACCCUUUGGUUCGGAAUAACUUGGGGAAACUCAAGCUAAUACCGGAUAAGCCCUUAUGGGGAAAGGUUUACUUCCGACGGAUCGGCCCUCGUCUGAUUAGCUAGUUGGUGAGGUAAUGGCUCACCAAGGCGAUGAUCAGUAGCUGGUUUGAGAGGAUGAUCAGCCGCACUGGCACUGAGACACGGCCCAGACUCCUACGGGAACAAGCAGUAGGGAAUAUUGUACGAUGGUGGCAAGCCUGAUCCAGCCAUGCCGCGUGAGUGAUGAAGGCCUUAGGGUUGAAAAGCUCUUUUCCCCGGGACGAUAAUGACUGUACCGGGGGAAUAAGCCCCGGCUAACUUCGUGCCAGCCGCCGCAGUAA